GAUGAACGCUGGCGGUGUGCCUAAUACAUGCAAGUCGAGCGAACAGACGAGGAGCUUGCUCCUCUGACGUUAGCGGCGGACGGGUGAGUACCACGUGGAUAACAUAACUAUAAGACUGGGAUAACUUCGGGAAACCGGAGCUAAUACCGGAUAAUAUAUUGAACAGCAUGAUUCAAUAGUGAAUGACGGUUUUGGUGUCGCAUAUAGAUGGAUCCGCGCCGCAUUAGCUAGUUGGUAAGGUAACGGCAUACCAAGGCAACGAUGCGUAGCCGACCUGAGAGGGAUAUCGGCCACACUGGAACGGAGGCACGGUCCAGACGCCUACGGGAGGCAGCAGUAGCGAAUCUGCCGCGAUGCGCGAAAGCCUGACGGGGCAACGGCGCGUGAGUGAUGAAGGUCUUCGGAUCGUAAAACGCUGUUAUUAGGGAAGAACAAAUGUGUAAGUAACGAUGCACGUCUUGACGGUACCUAAGCAGAAAGCCACGGCUAACUACGUG
rnacentral:rRNA from 1 species